rnacentral:rRNA from 1 species
UACGUAGGGUGCGAGCGUUGUCCGGAAUUAUUGGGCGUAAAGGGCUCGUAGGCGGUCUGUCGCGUCAGGAGUGAAAACUCGGGGCUUAACCCCGAGCCUGCUUCUGAUACGGGCAGACUAGAGGUAUGCAGGGGAGAACGGAAUUCCUGGUGUAGCGGUGAAAUGCGCAGAUAUCAGGAGGAACACCGAUGGCGAAGGCAGGUCUCUGGGCAUUAACUGACGCUGAGGAGCGAAAGCAUGGGGAGCGAACAGG